rnacentral:rRNA from 1 species
UGAGGAAUAUUGCGCAAUGGGCGAAAGCCUGACGCAGCGACGCCGCGUGGAGGAUGAAGGUCUUCGGAUUGUAAACUUCUGUUAAGUGGGAAGAAAAAGCUAUUUUUAAUAGAAGUAGCUAAUGACGGUACCAUUAGAGAAAGCACCGGCUAAACUCGUGCCAGCAGCCGCGGUAAUACGAGUGGUGCAAGCGUUAUUCGGAAUCAUUGGGCGUACAGGGCGUGUAGGUGGUAUGUUAAGUCUGUCGUUAAAGACUCUAGCCUAACUGGAGAAAGGCGAUGGAAACUGGUGUACUAGAGGGUGGAAGAGAGAAGUGGAAUUCUCGGUGUAGCGGUAAAAUGCGUAGAUAUCGAGAGGAACACCGAUGGCGAAGGCAGCUUCUUGGUCCAUACCUGACACUGAGGCGCGAAAGCGUGGGGAGCAAACAGG